rnacentral:misc_RNA from 1 species
AGUGGUGGUUGGCGCGUAUGGGCAUGUUGGAUCCCUGCUCGGGCAGCGACAGCAUCUCCUGCACGGCUCUUCAGUAUUCGGCGCAAGCACGGCUUGUCCGCAGUUGGUUUUCCUGUGCUGCAUACCUAUUGCAACGGCAUUCGUAGGCUAAAAGAGUCCCACCUCCGCCUUGCGCCGCUGCUCCCUGCGAGCGGGCGGCUCGGGGUGGAUCUCGUGGCAAUCGUCGUGUUUCGCACCGCAUUCGCCGAUUCUGGUGUUUGGGUGAACGACCCACGGCGCAUUGCCCGUCGUCUCGGGUACGGAAUAUCGGGUGGAUACGGGGCCACCGGCCUCGGAUGACCACACAAAUGCGUUCUACGCUUUUUGCGAACGACGGUCGGUUCGGUCUUUGGCUGGGCUCCCGUGGCUCGGUCGGAGCCGGGCCGA